AGUGAACGCUGGCGGUAGGCCUAACACAUGCAAGUCGAACGGCAGCACAGUAAGAGCUUGCUCUUACGGGUGGCGAGUGGCGGACGGGUGAGGAAUACAUCGGAAUCUACUUUUUCGUGGGGGAUAACGUAGGUAAACUUACGCUAAUACCGCAUACGACCUACGGGUGAAAGCAUGGGAUCUUCGGACCUUGCGCGAUUGAAUGAGCCGAUUUCGGAUUGGCUAGUUGGCGGGGUAAAGGCCCACCACGGCGACGAUCCGUAGCUGGUCUGAGUGGAUGAUGAGCAAAACUGGAGGUGAGAAAGGGACCAGAGACCUAGGGGAGGCAGAAGGGGGGAAGAUUGGAAAAAGGGCGAAAGACUGAACCAGACAAACAGGGGGGGUGAAGAAGGCCUGCGGGUUGUAAAGCCAUUUUGUAGGGAAAGAAAAGAAGCAGGUUAAUACCCCGCUGUUCUGACGGUACCAAAAGAAUAAGCACCGGCUAACUUCGU
rnacentral:rRNA from 1 species